GAUGAAGAACGCAGCGAAAUGCGAUAAGUAAUGUGAAUUGCAGAAUUCAGUGAAUCAUCGAAUCUUUGAACGCACAUUGCGCCCCCUGGUAUUCCGGGGGGCAUGCCUGUUCGAGCGUCAUUUCACCACUCAAGCCUCGCUUGGUAUUGGGCAACGCGGUCCGCCGCGUGCCUCAAAUCGUCCGGCUGGGUCUUCUGUCCCCUAAGCGUUGUGGAAACUAUUCGCUAAAGGGUGUUCGGGAGGCUACGCCGUAAAACAACCCCAUUUCUAAGGUUGACCUCGGAUCAGGUAGGGAUACCCGCUGAACUUAAGCAUAUCAUAAGCGGAGGA
rnacentral:misc_RNA from 1 species